rnacentral:rRNA from 1 species
AUGAAGUUUUCGGAUGGAUUUAAAACAGCUUAGUGGCGGACGGGUGAGUAACGCGUGGGUAACCUGCCUCACACUGGGGGAUAACAGUUAGAAAUAGCUGCUAAUACCGCAUAAGCGCACAGUUCCGCAUGGAACAGUGUGAAAAACUCCGGUGGUGUGAGAUGGACCCGCGUCUGAUUAGCUGGUUGGUGGGGUAACGGCCUACCAAGGCGACGAUCAGUAGCCGGCCUGAGAGGGUGAACGGUCACAUUGGGACUGAGAUACGGCCCAGACUCC